AACUGCCGUAUACGGAACCGUACGUACGGUGGUGUGAGAGGUCGAUAAUUGAACUAAUCAAUUAUCUCCUACUCGAU
rfam:Lactobacillus reuteri DSM 20016, complete genome.